rnacentral:rRNA from 1 species
CCGAUAUUAAGUCGGAGGAAGGUGGGGAUGACGUCAAGUCAGCAUGACCUUUAUAUCCAGGGCUACACACACGCUACAAUGGCCAGUACAAUGGGUUGCCAAGCCGCGAGGCGGAGCCAAUCCUAAAAAGCUAGGCCUCAGUUCAGAUUGCAGUCUGCAACUCGACUGCAUGAAGUUGGAGUUGCUAGUAACCGCAGGUCAGCAAUACUGCGGUGAAUACGUUCCCGGGGAUU